rnacentral:rRNA from 1 species
GCUGGCGGCGUGCCUAAUACAUGCAAGUAGAACGCUGAAGAGAGGAGCUUGCUCUCCUUGGAUGAGUUGCGAACGGGUGAGUAACGCGUAGGUAACCUGCCUUGUAGCGGGGGAUAACUAUUGGAAACGAUAGCUAAUACCGCAUAACAAUGGAUGACUCAUGUCAUUUAUUUGAAAGGGGCAAAUGCUCCACUACAAGAUGGACCUGCGUUGUAUUAGCUAGUAGGUGAGGUAACGGCUCACCUAGGCGACGAUACAUAGCCGACCUGAGAGGGUGAUCGGCCACACUGGGACUGAGACACGGCCCAGACUCCUACGGGAGGCAGCAGUAGGGAAUCUUCGGCAAUGGGGGCAACCCUGACCGAGCAACGCCGCGUGAGUGAAGAAGGUUUUCGGAUCGUAAAGCUCUGUUGUAAGUCAAGAACGAGUGUGAGAGUGGAAAGUUCACACUGUGACGGUAGCUUACCAGAAAGGGACGGCUAACUACGUGCCAGCAGCCGCGGUAAUACGUAGGUCCCGAGCGUUGUCCGGAUUUAUUGGGCGUAAAGCGAGCGCAGGCGGUUUGAUAAGUCUGAAGUUAAAGGCUGUGGCUCAACCAUAGUUCGCUUUGGAAACUGUCAAACUUGAGUGCAGAAGGGGAGAGUGGAAUUCCAUGUGUAGCGGUGAAAUGCGUAGAUAUAUGGAGGAACACCGGUGGCGAAAGCGGCUCUCUGGUCUGUAACUGACGCUGAGGCUCGAAAGCGUGGGGAGCGAACAGGAUUAGAUACCCUGGUAGUCCACGCCGUAAACGAUGAGUGCUAGGUGUUGGAUCCUUUCCGGGAUUCAGUGCCGCAGCUAACGCAUUAAGCACUCCGCCUGGGGAGUACGACCGCAAGGUUG